GACCGGACAGCACCAGGAAGCCCGGCAGGAGAAUUCUGCCAGAUAUCAGGACAGAUGGGGAACAGCAGAAGCCGUGUGGGGCGGAGCUUUUGUUCACAGUUUCUUCCUGAGGAACAGGCAGAGAUUGAUCAAUUGUUUGAUGCUCUGUCAUCAGAUAAAAACAGCCCGAAUGUCUCAUCCAAAUCCUUCUCUCUGAAGGCACUACAGGCAAGAGUAACAACCCGUGGUUCAUGUUUAGUUGGGAGCAGGGGUCUGCAAACUGUGGCUUUCAGGCCAGAAUCUGCUUUCGUGUUUUUGUAAUGGGAUGGAUGGCAACACUGAAAAGUUGGUUUUCUGUAAAGGGCCAGAUGUGACCUAGUUUUGGCUUUGUGAGCUAUGCGGUCUCUGUUGUAGCUCCUCUGCUCUGCCGUUACUGUGUGAAAAUAGCCAUAGACAGU
rnacentral:lncRNA from 10 species